UACAGAGGUCCCAAGCGUUGUUCGGAUUUACUGGGCGUAAAGGGUGCGUAGGCGGUCGGAUAAGUCUGAUGGGAAAUCUCCGAGCUUAACUCGGAAAUGGCAUUGGAUACUAUUCGGCUGGAGAGUUGGAGGGGGGACUGGAAUACUUGGUGUAGCAGUGAAAUGCGUAGAUAUCAAGUGGAACACCAGUGGCGAAGGCGAGUCCCUGGACAACUUCUGACGCUGAGGCACGAAAGCUAGGGGAGCAAACAGG
rnacentral:rRNA from 1 species